UCGAGAUGCGCGGAUGCGUAGCCUACCGCAAUGUUCGAGUUGGUGAUGCUCUCCCUCCACUACUUUCUGUUCUUUUCUCUCUUUCCAUCUUUCUUCUCCCUCGCCUUUUUUUCUCCUUUUUUACCACCUCUUUACCUCUAUCUCGCUCGCUUCGAGUUUUUUCUUUGCCCUUCGAGUAGAGCUUCAUAUUUCUUUCUUUCUCGUUCUUUGCCUUGUUCUGAUGGUUUCGCGAGAGGGAAAGCUAUUUUUCCGUCUAUUGGGAUAGGACACACGAAGCAGUCUGCAAGCGCCGUUCUCAUGACAUUAACCUUCGAUCGUCGACGUUAGAAACAGCGGGCGGUGACGUGAAAUAUAGGUUGUUUUAACGGGAGUUUUUUUUCAGACUAACUUGACGGAUCAAGGAAAGAGAACACGUUUUCUCGAUCAUUCCUUCGAGAAUUCGUUCGCGAUUGAAACAACUCUGUUGUCGGGUAAGCGAAACGAGCAAAUUGCUACACAUGUAUAUACACGCAUUCCAACCAACCGUUUCCCUCUAAUCCCUGACAUUGUCUUCUUGAGGAUGAAUUCAACAAGCAACAGCAGGUCUCUGCAGCGUAUAGGAAGACUGGGGCGCACAGAAACGAGACUGGAACGAUUGCGUAUGCAUGGUACACACAAUAGGUGAACGUGCGUACGAGUUCGUGGCAGAAAGGAACUUCCAAUUCGACGUCUCGUUGCAGCCGGUAAACACAGGUGCAACGAAAACGUCGGAAGUGUUUUUGCAACGGGGCAUACAGAGUGAACCUUGAGAGUGACCGAUUUCGUAAUCCCUUCGCGGCUCGCUUCUCUGGCGUGGUUUCCAUUGUAAUGCAAGUUAAAAAACGAUCUUCGAGAUCGUGUUUGUUGAGGUUAGAGUGAAUGUGUGUUCGGGAUGUUAUCCUGCCAGGACGAUUUCAAGAUUUCAUUCUGGAAACGUAACGAACUGCGGACGAAGGGCUUGUUCAUCAGCUAGAGAUUCUCGAUCCCUUUUCUGAUAAACGAAAACGAGGUUGACCUUAAUUGCAUUUCCUGCCAUCGAACCUGCGAUUCUAUUGUUGCCGAAAAGCGUUUUUCGCAGACUUCACAUGCCACGAUCAACGAUUCCACGGAACAAGAUAAUACACUUUCGGAAAAAGCGAAGAAUCUCCAACGAUCAAAAGGUAUCGACGAGGAACACGAAAAGCAGAAAAAGGGAGGAGGAAGAAAGAGGAAGAGGAGAAGAGGAGGAGUAGGGGGAGCGGCAUUAGGAGGAGGAAACGGAGGGCAGACGAGGAGGACUCGCACGAAGACGGAGAAGAAGAAGAAGAAUCCCCCUUGGCUCACGUCCGCGAGAACCGGAAAGAUUCCCUCGAUCCGCUACGAACGGCUUCCAAGCCGAUCUGAAUCUGUCCUUCUCGAACAACAACGACGCCACGUUUCAACGCCACGAUUCAAUUAAAUCGCGAGGGGUUAAGAGCCACAACCGGUAACCGGGGAGUCGGUGACUCCUAGGUAUCCUUGAAAUCGUAUCUCCUGCUACAUCCUCGCCGCGUUUGCAUGCCUGCUCAACCAUUGACGUCACAACAGAGUGCAACGGCGCGGCGAGGCCCGACGAACGUCCGACGAAUUUCAAUCUCUCCCGGAACGAUUUCGAACACGUCGCGCAUUUCCAAGCGGAUAGCAACGCGACGAGAGGAAGAGUGGAAAACAGCCGGUGGGCCCAGGCGAGGGGGUUGAGGGAGGGGAGCAGGUCCUCCCCCUCCCUCCUCUCUUUUUCGUUCGAGCAAAAAUACGCUUCAUUUGUGUCACGGCACGCUGCGUCAUCCGAGCGCGGUUAAAAGUGACUCAGGUUUUAUUUCCUGCUUCGAGUUCUAGUUACUACGCUCCCGGCUAGUCGGCGGAUAGCGCGAAUCGAUAACACUUAUCCUCUGCACGGGUCGAAACAAACCCGAGGAACGUUCAACCGGUCGACGAGAUUGCAAUACGCGCGCUCGAGUUGUGGGUCGAUCGCUAAUCGCACAACGAUCCCUCCUUUCUCCUCCACGAGUGGGAGUGGGGCAUGGUUAAUUUUUUGGCAGAAAUCGAGCAUAAUUUUCGAUGUAAUCUUCGAGAUCGAGAGAUUGGAGAAAUUGGAAUUUGAUCGAUCGAUUUUGGAAAUUUUUCUUUUUUCUUGUAAAGUAUAUCUGUUUGGUAUAGAGAAACUGAUUUGUAUCUACGCACGGUAGGAUACAGAAGAUUUGGACAAGGUUAACUCUGUAUGUAUAGUAAAUAUAUCUGCAACUUUAUUAUUUGUUUUUGACACUGAUCUCUAUGUAUUUUAAGAAUUACGAUAUCAAAGUGUCAAAAUAUGUGGAGAGAUAAAUCACGUUUAUUUUUAUUGCUACUUUAUCAUAAACAUAAGGAUUUUGACACUGAGGAUGUAUAUUUUUCCAUCGUGUCGCGGAAAAUACUUAUAUUUUAAAGUAGUAAUUGGUUACGAGAGGUUUCAAGAGAGGAAAAUUAUUGAAUUCAAUUCGUAUGACCAUGCACCAUAUAAAAUAUUGCGAGUUCUACCGUUAAGGGAACGAUCUGGUAUCGUAAUCUAAAAAGAGACGACUGUUUGUCUGUUUUUCGAGGUUGAAAUCAAGAGGAAAAUCCACGAAGCAAUAUUCUCGCGGCAUUUCGAGCUACAAAGUAUUAUCGCCUCGAUCCGCGACGAUGUUUGUUCGUCGAUGUUUCCCUCGUUCGUUGAAAAACUGUGGCGAUAAAGUUGUGCCGGUAAUUCGAAGAUAAACAUCGCGACGAGAGUCGAGCUUACGUAAUAAAAACUGUUUGUUUAUUGAUCGCAUUUUUUUUUUUUUUUUAAAAAUACGAGAUCGAGAUCCUCUGAACCUCCGAAAACUCCGAUGAAAGUAAAAUUCAUUCGUAUCGUUCGUCGUGGAUUUAUUUUUUAGGCUUGUAGAUUGUCAUUACAUGAGAAAACAAAGUCGAGGGAACGCUCUUAAAAUCUUUCGAUUUAAAUUUCGCGCGAAAAAAAGAAGGAAUUUUUAAUCAAUAUAUUUACGAAUGACGUAAAUUAAUAUAUCACUGCACGAAUAAUUAAAUAUUCGCCAUUGCUGUUCAUCGAUCAAUCGAUCGAAAAUAUGUCGACAUGAAUUAUCGAGAGUCUUGGAGACUCGAGGAAUCGAACUCGAGUAAAAUUACUCACGGAGUCAAAUCAACUUUUAUUUUUCCAAUUAUAUAAGAAUAUAAUUUUACAUAUUACCACACGUUUAAAAUAUAUCUUAAUUUCAGGUUACCGAUUCUACGUGCAAACAACACUCGUUUCAAGGAAAAAAACUCUCUUUACGUCAAGCAUCGGGAAAAAAGUAUUCCAAACAAGUGCAUCGUGAAACGAGGCGAGCAGUGUUCGCCAUGAUCGGUCCAAAGUGGCACACGGCGCAUUUGACGGGCCGAUCUUGACGUGGAAAUAAGCAGACAGCUAUUCAAACGUGGCGCAAAUCGAAAGUGAUUCGAUCGAGAUCGCCGACUACCGUAUGCAUAGACGCAUCUACGCGCACAUCCAAACGCGUGUACGCACGCGAGCCUGUUUAAGGAGAUAGUGGCAAGCGUGCAGGUAGGCGCUCGCACGAGACGACGUUUCGGGUCGGGAAACGAAUCGCUCGCGCGCGUGAUCCUCCGUUUCCAUUAGUGCACGCACGUGCAACGCUCGCUACGUGUUGUUACUUACGUACGUGUGCGGGCAAGCGAGCGAGCGAGCAGUUCGUUCGCCACGCUAGCCCUGGCCUAGAUAAGCUACUUGGCUUUGCAUCGUUGCAUCGCUUUAAGCCCGACUCACGCGCCACCGAUCUAUCGCCGUCCUUUUCCCGCCACUCGUUGCACGCGUCCAUGCUUCUCCCUCCGGCGUUAUCUCCAACGUAUUAACACGAGGUAAUAAUAUACAUUUUUUUCGCCCAAAAUUCCCUCCGAGUUUGUUGACAGUUGAUCGUGGCGCGUCAAUUCGCGCUAUAUUUAUAUAUUCUCUUAUCCAUUGUGAUCUUCAUGAUUCUUUUUUUCAGAGGUGUUAGGAUAGUUAUCGAAUAUCUUUAUUUUUAAGCUGAUGUCUGUGGCUUAUUAUAACUCAUCAUUAUCGCGCCUUGAUGUUAAUUUGGCACGACGAGUGAAAUUAGCCGAAAGAUUAAUCCAGGGGGGUUUAAAUUUAAAUUCGAAAGAAACGAUGGGAAAAGCAAAUUGCUGGAAAUGAAAUGUUUGGAUUAAUUUUAUUACGAUCGGUUUUAAUUUAGAGAAAAAUUUUCAAAUUUACUGCGCGCUAAAACUUCAAACAAAUUGUUAUCUUAACUGACCGAUGUUGUAUUAUCGAUUCUUUUAAUUUUCUAUUCUUUCGCUCUUUGGAAAUCGUUUGGAAAAAUACAUUGUUUCAACGUGAUCAAAGCGCACUUGCUAAUUUCCGUGACUGGCUCUCGUGACACCGUUUUCCUCGGUGUUAUCGUCUGUAUAGUUACGACAGAAAUCGAUAUUCUGUAAAUUACAUUGCUUCUCCUUUUUUUCUUUCUCCCUGUUUCUUUUUUUCUUUUCUUUUCUUUUUUUUUUUGGUAGAAAAACCUGGAUACAGACAAAUUCUAUUAGAAUUGAAGUUAAUUCGAAAUUUAAAUUUGAAUUUCAUGCGAAUUUAAACGUACUCGAUGAAAUGUAUUCAUUAUCUUUUCGCAUAUUUCUAAAAUUUAAAAACGUAUAAAAAAAAUAUUUCCAAAGAAAUAAAGGUCGAAUUUAUUCGAUCCAAUUUCAUCUGACUCGUACAAUUACACAGAUAUAUAUAUAUAUAUACAUUCAGCGAUGGUUCGAGAAAGGAAGUAUCUUUUUUUAGCCGAAGUAGGUAUAUACCAUCAUUGGAUAUCGAGGAUUGAUCUCGUUAGAAAGAAGAAAUUAAACGAUGUAAAUGAGCAAGAAGGGGAAACGAAAGGAAGUAAAAAAAAAAAAAAGAAAUCUCGGUCGAUGUAGCUUCAAGGGGAUUCCACAGUGAGAAGUUGGCUUAAGGUCGCGUGAAUCCGCACACCGCAACAGCGGACAGUGAAACUAUGCCGUUUUUUCUCCGGCUCUUUCCUUUUCUUCGAGCGACCAGCCGAGAGAGACCGAUUCGCCUUUCCCUCGCAGGCGAAUCUACCAGUGGAAGACCACUUUUCCCGUGGAUACGGCUACGAAAUCGACACUUUUCGCCAAGAGAUCCACGAAACUGGAUGCCAAGUUACGUUACGAGACCCGAUUCGACCGAAAAUCAACUCCCGUUCGCGUGAUUUGUCGUCAUUACACAGAUUUAGAUGCAUCAGAUCAACGCUUUCUUUUUUUUUCAAAUCCGUGCCUACUUUUUAAGAGAAUCUCCGAUAUAUAUAUAUAUUCAAAUUUCGAAUCAAUCAACUUUCUCCGGAAAAAAUUCUUUCAACAACGUCCCUUUCUUCGAUGAGAAUACAUUUCUCGGAUAAGUUUUCUCGUUGACCGAUUUCGCAAGAAAAUAUCCAUUGGCUCGUUGUAUCGAGCUGGUGGAAGACGAAUGGGUGGAUAGGCGGUGGCACGCGUUGACGCUUGUAACCAUCAUCGGCAGACGUAUUAUACCGUAACCUCGAUUCGAAUGAAAACGGUGUUACGCCAUUUUCCCUGUCAGUGAAAUGCGAUCUAUUUUCGCGGAAUAUCGGUGGUGGCACGAUAAGCUCGAGCGAUUCGCGCCUCUCUUUUCCAAACGGCGCGUUAAAAGCAUCGAGGAUCGAGCAUCUUCGUAUUUUUUUUUCUCCCCCCAAAUGAAGGAACAACCGGAAAAUGGACGCCGUUGACGCAACACGCCGAAAAUCAGGUCGAAUCGACACGACGAGAGUGCACACGAAGGCUUUACAAUCGUUGCGCGAUAAUAUUGGAAUUAAACGCGAUUAUCCUCCACGAAUCGCGAACGUUACGGGAAAUAUUACGCGGUCACCGUGCGCGGUACACGCACACACGACGCGAUGCCGGUAUCCGUGUGAGAUGGUCAUUCGACUGUCGGUGGUUAUACACUUGUGACGCGAAUUCCGAGGGAAAAAUCGAUUGCGAAACGCGCGCAUCGCACCGCUGUGUCUAAUAUCGCUGACAUCGAGCACGGAUUCUCUAGCAUCGACCGUCGAUCUUAAUUUAAAACGUGACGAAACAUUUGCAUAAUCCUCCCUGCUCGGCCCACGAGAGGCGCGUGUUACUACGAAAAAACGUCAUUGCCGGCCGGUUACAUCAAACCGUGUACACAUUCGCGUUGCGAGCAUCAUUAUUCAAUUUCCACGAACGUAAUCUGCCUUCGUGGCGAAUCCCCACAACGCGAGCCGUGAUUCAUCAUCGCGCAUCGAGAACUCUCCUCGGUAUCGGAGAAACAAUGCGAUAAAAGGCAGGCGAAGAGGGGAGGAAAUAAGAAGAAGAAAACAAAAGAGGAAAGAUACGAACGCGAAAGAUCGAACGCGUAGGAAAUCGUGGAAAGUUGGACGAGGCUCGGUCGGUUUUGGCGGGAUAGAACGCGAGGCGAGGCGGGUGCGCGUGCGCCUAUACCGUGCGGUGCAUCCGAGGCGCGCAUGCGCCGCUCGGCCGAUGCACGUGGUAAGUACAAGUAUGUCAAGGCGCGACCUGAAUUUUCCUACUCUCAGUGCCCCCUACCGUACUCCGUGCCUCUCCCCUCGCGCUCGCGCGCCGCCACUGUUGCUCCACGCUUACUCGAUGCCUGCCUCCUCCCACCCCUCCGCCACUCCCCUCGCUCGGCGACCAUGCGGUGCGCGCGUUGCAUCUACCUGCGCGCUCGAGAAUCCCGGUGACCACCACACGCACGUGCGUGUCCUGAGACGGCCAAACGGCCAACGUUCCUAUGCACGCGCGACGGUACAUGACUUUUCAUCGAUGCGUCCGGACCUUCUUCGUUCUUCCCCCACUCUCCUCCUCCUUCCCCUUCCCUCGAGCAAACCUGCUGCGGCUCGACCCGUAGUGCGUGCGCCUCCUUUUCUGGAAGGAUCGCUAUUCCUUGAUCCUCGACGAUCUUCCAUUUCUUUCGUCGAUCCUCCUUUUCUCCGUUGGAAUGGACGUUUUUUAAUAGCGAGGUAAUUGUGUGACGGGAUAUAUGUAUAUAUAUAUAUAUAUAUAAAGGAUAUCGCGAAAACGGGAAACAGGUUCUAGCGGAUGCGGAUCGAGGAAUUUUUGGUUUUAACCGAGAAACUUUUUCUUCUUGAUUCUGAGAUUAAACUGGCUAUUGCCUGGCAACUCGUAAAUCCAAGCUUACUUUAAUUUUCGUGUAAUUAUUAUUUUUUUAGCGAUCGAGAAAUCGAUCCAUCUGAUUCUAAUUCAAGAUGUAUGUACUACUCGCCAUCCCUAUUUACAAAUCGAACGCUCGAGGCCGAUCUCCGAUAUCCUAUUUGAGAUCUCGUUCCUAUUCUCGGCAGGCCGAGUUUUCCUCGUCAAUUUGUCACGGAAAAGGAAAGCGUUACGGUAUAUCUAGCCGAUCGAUCGAUCGUUCGAUGUCGUCGUCGUCAUCAAAGCGGAGGGGUCCCCUAGAAAGCUGCUCUCCCGCGACUUCGAAGGGAUCCCAAUCGGUGUUGCUCUUUUCCCUCUCGAGAGAGCACGCGUCCUCUUUUCUCGCUCGUUUAAACUUCGAUAAACUUCGUCGAAGUGAACGAGAGACACAAUUAUUGCUCAAAUUCACUCGAAACCUCCGCCUGAUUUCUUUUAUCCUUAUUCAUUAUUUUCAUUUCUUUUUUAUUUUCUUUCGCAAUCCAAUCUUUCUCAUUUCUUUCCUUUAUAUAUCCUCUUUCGUAGGAAAUCGUCGUAUGUUAUAAUUUGUCUCGGAGAAGUGGAACGGUGGGCAGCUGGCGACGAUCGUCGAGAUUUCGAGAACGGAAUCGGGCAUUAUGUGUGUUUCGCGAUCGAAAACGAAUCUGGCGGCGGCCACGGAAUUACGUAAUCGGAAUUCUUCGUGCAUUUCACGGCGCCCGAGUCUUACCAAGCUUUCAGGCCACGCGCGAUUAAACCUGUAACCUGUUCGUUGGUGGCCUCUGUUGCGUGGCCACCGCUCGAGCACGAAAAUUCGACACGUUGCAUUGGGUAAUCGCUAUCGUUUCGGGAGCAUCGGGAUUAAAGAUUAUUGCGCGUGUCGUGACACCGUACACAUACAAUAUAAUACAAUAUAUCGUAUUAAAUAAUGAUCGACGAAAUUAUUUUCUUUAUAUAUCUUUUUCUCAGAAGUGUAAUACAGAAUUUUUAAAUUUUGCUGCAACGACAGAUCUUCAUAUUUUCUUUCUCCCAAAAUAAAUUAAACCUGACGAA